GACGCUGACUGACUUAAUGACUUCUUGACUUUGAUAUUGUGUUCACUUACAAGACUUUAGAGAUAUGGCCAUAAGCAUAAGGAUAUAUUAAGAAAAAAAGAAAAAAAGAGAGUCAGCCUCAGCCCCAAGCACGUGGAUGGCUGGGCUGGAUAAUUGCUAGGACCUAAAGAUGUUAACAAUCUUUUUUCCUCAGUGAGCUGGGAGCUGUGCAUCUCAAACCUUUGGUCAAAGCUGGCCAAGGCUUAACUCCACCUAUGAAGAGCUCUUUCAGAUCCUAUGGGUUAUAAAUGUUAUAAAUAUCUGUCAUCAUUUAUAGGGGCUGGUUACAAAUUAUUGUCGGUUAAUGUUAAAAAAAAAUUGCUGGUCUCAAAUGUUUCGUACUGGUAUGUGCUGUUCUUGUUUAAAAAUUAUCAUUGGUUAAUGUUUUAUUUUUUUUUAAAAAAAGAGCCUAUCGCUGAUCUCAAAUGUUUCACACUGGUAUAGGAUUUUAUAUGCUGUUCUUGUAUGCUGUUCUAGUUUAAAACAUAGCCAUAUAUCCCCACUGAGAAAAACCACAAGAAAGACUUUGGUAAGAGUUUUUAUGUUGUCUAAAAGCAAGAGAAAUUUUUGCUAUGUUGUCUAAAAGCAAGGAAAAAUUUUGGUUAAAAAAUAUAUAAACAGAUGGGCCUUAUCUAGGUCCCCAUGUAUAACUUAAAGCAGGUGGGGAGCAGCUGACAGUCCAUCACCACAGGGCUCUGCCAUCUAUGUUUCUUGAGCAUUUAAAGGAGGCUUACAGGCAUUAUACUCCCCAUUGACCCUCAGAGGUUGUCUUGGCAGAAGGAGGUCAAUGGUACCUAUGGCCUUUAUAGGACAGUCAGCAUCAGAUAUUAUGGUUAAAAAGAGUUACAGGAUUUAAUUAAGGAGGCAGAGAAAAUGUUUCAUAAGCGAAAAACUGAGAAAGAGAGAGAAAGAGGGAGAGAGAUGGAGACAGAAGAAAGAGGACUGGAGGGAUCAUAGACAAAAGGGAAUUUUGGCCGCAGUGGUAGGAGAGAAAGGAAAGAUAGGAACUAGACAGAUAGGGAACCUGGGCAACAGAAGAUCAAAGAUGAACAUGGACAGGCACCCCUUGGACAAAGGACGAUGUGCUUAUUGCAAAGAAGAAAGGAAGGGACUCUAAGGUACUGGCCCUAGAAGAAGAUGAUUGGAGGGGACUGGGCUCAGACACCCUCCCCUGCGCCUAGGGUAACCCUGACUAUGGAGGGGACCCUUAUGGAUUUUCUAAUGAACAUAGGGGCUGAGCACUCUGUGCUAUGACAACCAUUGGGAAAGCUAAAGAAUAGAAAGACUAUAGUAAUUGGAGCAACUGGACAGAAACAAUAUCUGUGGACCACCUCACGAACUGUAGAUUUGGGGAGAGGACAAGUGACUCAUUCCUUCCUGGCUAUCCCCGAGCGUCCUAUCUCUAUUAGAAAGAGACUUGCUAACAAAGCUGAAGGCCCAACUGGGUUUACUCAAACCAGGCUGGAGAUGAUUAAAGCCUUUUGUUGACUGAACCAGUGACCUUCGCUCCCCCUGCUGUCCUCCAUCCCGCUACCCUACUGCCUGAGACUGAUGACAUCUCGUCUACUCAUCAAUGCGCUGAGAAGCUGGCACCAGAAAUGAUCUGAAGGAUCAGCCGUGGCCUGAAAGUCCGAGCUGGUGUACGGAUGGCAGCUGUUUCAUGAUCGAAGGUAAGCGGAAGGCGGGGACAGCAGUGGUGGAUGGGAAGCAAAUGGCCUGGGCAUAGCCUCCCUAAAGGACGUUGGCACAAAAAGCCGGACUUGCUGCUUGGAUACGAAUGACAGAGGGAGAAGUCUCAGCAUCUACACUGGCAGCAGGUAUGCUUUUGCCACUGCUCAUAUUCAUGGAGCAAUAUACAGACGAAGAGGACUGUUAACAUCUGCAGGAAAAGACAUAUACUUGUCCAAGACACCAAAAAGCUUGAGAUGCUGUGGCUGAAAGAAAAUCAGACGACAGACUCUCUGUCUUGGCAGAAGAAGUAGUCAAAAACUGCAAGGACUGUGCUAUGAUUAAUGCAGGACACUCCAUAUAUGCUCCUGGGAAGAGGCUCAGGGGCGGUUGGCCUGGAGCCUACUGGAAAGUAUAUUUUACAGAAAUUAAACCAGCCAGAUAUGGCAACAAGUACUUAUUAGUUUUUAUAGAUACCUUUUCAGGCUGGAUAGAAGUUUUUCCUACCAGGACUGAGACAGCCAAUACGGUGGCUAAGAAGAUCAAAGAAGAAAUCUUCCCAAGGUUUGGGAUACCCAAGGUAAUUGGGCCUGAUAAUGGACCUGCAUUUGUUGCCCAGACCUUUAUUUUCCCCGUCUAAAGGCCCUUGAAAUGGAGAGACACCAGAUCUGAAAACCACUGAAAGAAGUACGCGUCUCUGCCUGGAUCCACACCUCCCACAUGAAGCGAGCUCCUGAACUACCCAAACUACAGUAUCCGAGGCUUUUGACAACGCUACCAGUCAAAAGACUUGGGUUUAGGGGAUUAAUCAUAGACGGACUCUUACUGAGGUUAUGUAAUGAGACUCUAAGGGCCCUAAGACUCCUGACACCUGGUACUUGGUUCCUGGUUUAGAUAGAUGAUGGGUUUAUAGUACAGGUUUGAUGCCUUGCAUGUCAAUGUUAAUUUUUGAUGAUACCAAAGAUUACUGUGUGUUUGCACAACUGGUAUGAAUUUGAUAGAGAACCCAUUUCUCUGACACUAGCAGUAAUCCUGGGCCUUAGAGAAGCUGCCGAUGUUGGGGCAGGUACUGCUGCCCUAAUACAGGCCCCUCAGUACUUCAAUGUAUUAAGAUUUGAGGGCUUUAGAACAAUCUGGUUCCAAACUCGAAGAGUCAUUGACUUCCCUCUCAAAAUGGUCUUACAGAAGGGGUUUAGAAUUGUUAUUCUUAAAGGAUGGAGGAUUAUGCGAAUAGAUCUCCCUGGAUGACUACUUUGAUAUCCUCCCUUAUGGGACCACUCCUAAUUUUGCUUCUGCUACUGAUGUUACCUUUAUUAGAAAAAGAACAAGUGCUGUUCAGAUUUUGAUGUUACACCCCCAAUACAAUGCUUUAAGGUCAAGAAGAUACUGAAAUCUAGUUCUAUGAUUAGAACUA